CACUUACAUGAAUUUGCUUGUACCCUCCUCCUCCUCCUCAGGGAAAGAAGAUGCCAACAGAGUGAGCCUCAAAUUCGACAGGGUCAAGUACUGGUUAUCAGUUGGAGCUCAACCAACAGACUCGGUCGAGAACAUGCUUUUCAGGGCAGGUCUGAUACCCCCAAAGUCCAUGGUUGUUAAAGGUUCAAAAAA